rnacentral:tRNA from 1 species
GCGAGAGUAGCCAAGCUUGGCCAACGGCGCCAGACUUAAGAUCUGGUCUAUGAGUAGUUCAUGGGUUCGAAUCCCACCUCUCGCA